ACAACAUGCAGGGAGGACGCCAUGUGCAACCGUGGGCAGAGGCCGGGCUGAUGGGUCUACAAGCCCAGGAAAGUCCGAGAUUGCCAGCAAAACACCAGAAGCUGGGGGGAGGCAUGGAGUGGGUUCUUAGAAGGAACCCACCCUGCAACACCUACAUCUCAGACUUCAGCCUCUGAAACUACUUGGCUGAGCCGGUGGACAAGAUUUCAGGAAGGAACUAAGCUCUGAGCUUUACUGAUAGGCUGGUAUGGAAAACCUUUCUGGACUC
rnacentral:lncRNA from 10 species